UACGGAGGGGGCUAGCGUUGUUCGGAAUUACUGGGCGUAAAGCGCACGUAGGCGGCUUUGCAAGUUAGAGGUGAAAGCCCGGGGCUCAACUCCGGAAUUGCCUUUAAAACUGCAUCGCUAGAAUUGUGGAGAGGUAAGUGGAAUUCCGAGUGUAGAGGUGAAAUUCGUAGGUAUUCGGAAGAACACCAGUGGCGAAGGCGACUUACUGGACACAUAUUGACGCUGAGGUGCGAAAGCGUGGGGAGCAAACAGG
rnacentral:rRNA from 1 species